AAUGGGAUAGCUGGGUCAAAUGGUGAUUCCAUUACAAAUUUUCUAAGGGAUCUCCAUACUGCUUUCCAGAAUGGUUGUACCAGUUUGCAGUUCUACUAGCAAU
rnacentral:pre_miRNA from 1 species